CUCAGACCUCCGGCGCCGCGUCUCUCCCGCCCUGGCCUGAGUUCCCGCCGCGCUCUUGGGCCUGAGGGACCCGCGUGGAGCUCGCAGCGCCUCGGAAACUGGGGGAGGCAAGGCUGCACAAUGACCCAGACGGUGCCUUCUGCCAGGGGCGGCCCUGCCUGGGCAGCUUAUAGGAUGACAGCCUGCUCGCGGGCUUCCUGAGGAGGCUCCUGCCCGCCGAGUGUCUUGCUAAGUCACUAAAUCCAGUUGCCCAAGAUGGAUUUGAAUGUGUGAUCCUCCUGCCUCAGCCUCCUGGAGCUAAAAUUACAGUUUCACAGGUAGAAGAGUUACGCUUACUAUAGAUCUUAACAAUAUCAACAUGAUUUUUUUUCUUCACUUUUGAAGUCAAGAACUUCUACCUUUGUCCCUAAAGGAAUCAUUUAUGGCUUCUUUUGGUAAAUUCAAAUUGCAGGUAUUACUGUUAUGCUUUGAAGCUAUUAUUAAGUAAAAUAAGGAUAACUUAAACCAAAGCACUAUCAUAUCAUGACAAGUCAGUCUGAUAACUGAGAUGCCUAUUAAAUGAUUAAGAGGUAGGUAGCACAUAGAACAUGGAUAACUAUGGACAAAGGGAUGAUUCAUGUCCCAGAAGGAAGGAGCAGAUGGUGCAAGAUUUCAUCACAUUGCUCAGAAUGAUGUGCAACUUACAACUUUUGAAUUAUUUUUGGAAUUUUCCACUUAGUAGUUUCGAACACAGUUGACUAUAGAAAGUGAAACUGCAGACAAGAGGGACUGGUAUAAAUGUUAUUCUUCUGCAUUGUAUAUGAGGCCAUACUUAAAGAGAAUAAGUUUGUAAGGUUAAUGAUUGUCAUUGGGUUUUUUUUUAAUUAGUUUGAGAGGCAUAAAGAGGUUUAUUA
ensembl:lncRNA